rnacentral:rRNA from 3 species
GGAUGCGAUCAUACCAGCACUAAAGCACCGGAUCCCAGCUUGGGCGAGGGUAGUACUAGGAUGGGUGACCUCCUGGGAAGUCCUCGUGUUGCAUUCC